rnacentral:sRNA from 1 species
AUGCCAGGUCUGCACAAGGACCAUGGGUGCCGCGCUGGGGACAGGCACGCGGCUGGCUCCCUGGCCGGGCCGGGCCUGCGGCGCCCUCCCGCGCUGGGCACCCACCGCGUCCGCCCAAGGCUGCCACUCCAAGCCUGGCCCGGCGCGCCCUGUGCCCCUGAAGAAGCGCGGAUACGAUGUCACCAGGAACCCUCAUCUCAACAAGGGGAUGGCCUUUACCCUUGAAGAAAGGCUGCAGCUUGGAAUCCACGGCCUAAUCCCGCCCUGCUUUCUGAGCCAGGACGUCCAGCUCCUCCGAAUCAUGAGAUAUUACGAGCGGCAGCAGAGUGACCUGGACAAGUACAUCAUUCUCAUGACACUCCAAGACCGGAACGAGAAGCUCUUCUACCGAGUGCUGACUUCGGACGUGGAGAAGUUCAUGCCGAUCGUGUACACACCUACAGUGGGGCUGGCCUGUCAGCACUAUGGCCUGACCUUCCGCAGGCCCCGCGGACUGUUCAUCACCAUUCAUGACAAAGGUCAUCUUGCAACAAUGCUGAACUCUUGGCCAGAAGACAAUAUUAAGGCCGUGGUGGUGACUGAUGGGGAGCGCAUCCUGGGCCUGGGAGACCUGGGCUGCUACGGCAUGGGCAUCCCGGUGGGCAAGCUGGCCCUGUACACAGCGUGCGGAGGGGUGAAUCCGCAGCAGUGCCUCCCUGUGCUGCUGGAUGUCGGCACCAACAAUGAGGAGCUGCUCAGAGACCCACUGUACAUCGGCCUGAAACACCAGCGUGUGUGCGGGAAGGCAUACGAUGACUUGCUGGAUGAGUUCAUGCAGGCUGUGACAGACAAGUUUGGAAUAAAUUGCCUCAUCCAAUUUGAAGACUUCGCCAAUGCCAAUGCCUUCCGCCUGCUCAACAAAUACCGUAACAAGUACUGCAUGUUCAAUGAUGACAUCCAAGGCACAGCCUCCGUUGCUGUGGCAGGGAUCCUGGCUGCUCUGCGAAUCACCAAGAACAAGCUUUCCAAUCACGUGUUUGUUUUCCAAGGUGCAGGCGAGGCAGCUAUGGGCAUUGCCCACCUCCUUGUCAUGGCCCUAGAGAAAGAAGGUGUACCGAAGGCAGAGGCCACAAGAAAGAUCUGGAUGGUGGACUCUAAAGGGCUCAUUGUCAAGGGGAGGAGCCACCUGAACCAUGAAAAGGAGAUGUUUGCCCAAGACCAUCCUGAAGUCAACUCCCUGGAGGAGGUGGUGAGGCUGGUGAAGCCCACAGCCAUCAUAGGUGUUGCUGCCAUCGCAGGAGCCUUCACGGAGCAGAUUCUGAGGGACAUGGCCUCCUUCCACGAGCGCCCUAUCAUCUUUGCCCUGAGCAACCCCACCAGCAAGGCUGAGUGCACGGCUGAGAAGUGCUACCGGGUCACCGAGGUCAGCGGGGAGUCCUUCCUUCCCCCGGCUGAGAGGACAUAGUAACAAUUACUAUGAGUAAUCCCAUGAGGGUGAAAAAUACUCCUACAUCGCUGAUGAGCAAACUGAGUUUCAGAAAGAUGAAGUAACAUGCCCUAGGUCACAGAGCUAAUAAGGAGUGGAGCUGGCUGUC